rnacentral:rRNA from 1 species
UAUCGACCCCUCUGGUGUCGCAGUUAACGCGUUAAGCAUUCUGCCUGGGGAGUACGGCCGCAAGGCUAUAACUCAAAGGAAUUGACGGGGACCCGCACAAGCAGCGGAGCGUGUGGUUCAAUUCGAUGAUGCACGAAGAAUCUCACCAAGGCUUGACAUAUAAGUGGUAGUGAAGUGAAAGCGGAACGACCCUUCGGGGAGCUUAUACAGGUGCUGCAUGGCUGUCGUCAGCUCGUGCCGUGAGGUGUAUGGUUAAGUCCCAUAACGAGCGCAACCCCUGUGGUAUGUUAUAUCUUUCAUGCCAAACUGCCAAGGUUAACUUGGGGGAAGGUGGGGAUGACGUCAAGUCAGCAUGGCCUUUAUGUCUUGGGCUACACACACGCUACAAUGGCUAGUACAAUGGGUUUGCCAAGCCGUGAGGUGGAGCUAAUCUUAUCAAAGCUAGCCUCAGUUCAGAUUGGAGUCUGAAACUCGACUCCAUGAAGUUGGAGUUGCUAGUAAUCGCCGGUCAGCAAUACGGCGGUGAUACGUUCUCGGGUCUUGUACACACCGCCCGUCACACCACGAAAGUCAACAACACUCGAAGUCACUGGGCUAACCUUUGAAGUUUCUUCAAGGAGGCAGGUGCCUAAAGUGGGGUUGGUGAUUGGGAUGAAGUCGU